rnacentral:tRNA from 1 species
UAAUAUGAAAGAAAAAUUCUUUUUAAUUUCGACUUAAACCAUAGAUUAUAUAAUUAAUCCAUAUUAA